AUUUUUAAAGCAGGAGUCUAAAGGAGAAAUCAGAGUGUAAUUGGAAUAUUGUGCUGUAUUUUCUUUCCUGUGACUCUGUGUCUGUUUAGGUCAUCAGCUGCACCCUCAGUAUUAUUGUUGAUGAGAGCAGAGACACCAGGGGUGCAAAAUAUUUCUGUACCAAAAGAGAAUUCCCAAAUUAGGUGUGUAUACAGUCCCAACUCUCUGUUAACCUUUGGUUCUGCAUGGGGCAUCUUUAGUUCAUCUUGUAGACAAGACAGAUUGAAAAGGAGCCUCAAACUAAGGAGUAUGUUACAGCUAGACCUGCGAUAUUGCCAUGCCUGAAGAACAUGUGGUUGUGUAUUUAUUGGUGCAAGGAGUCACCUGUUUGUACAGCUACUUGAGACCCACAAGCCCAUGAGGAUGAAGGAACUGCAACUGUUGCUGAAUUAUGCUUCUUUCCACAGAUGAAGUGAUAAUAAGUAGAUGAGAGAAUAGAUGUUUCUGGUAUAAUUGAGAAUCUGAACAUCCAUUUCAUUGUAGUACUGUGUGCAGGAGGUACAGCAAUUGGCAAUUAUCGCUAUUUUAUGGAGCAGAUGACCUAAGGAACAGAAGUUUGCAGAUCUUAAAACCUUCUGCACUAUGACUUGGCAGCUGAACCAGAAUGGCAAAUUCAGUUGAGCACCUCAAAGCUGAAUGCUGCUACACACUUGAACCAGCCUUUGCCAUCCUGGCCUUGAAGAGUUUGGGCCAUAGAAGAGGAAAGUACAGUAACUGUCCUGCUUUCUGAUAGCUGGCACUUAUUCUUGAGCUUGUCAACACCAUUUCUUCUAGGCCAAAGAGAAGAUGCCAAAACAGUGCUUGACAAAGGAAAAUAUUGAACUGUGGAGAGAGGAGACCAGCACAGUGGACUCUGCUUUUGCUCUAGAGCUUACGGGUGACUUAUUUCUCUGGCCAGAAAGAAAGAAACUGUAGAUUUCUCUCAUAGCUGACUAAAGUAUUGGCAAAUGGCUGCAUCUUCUAAGCAUGUCUGAGG
ensembl:lncRNA